ACACCGUUGGUGAAACGGUAUCAUGCAUCGUUGCCAUUCAAUGAUUAAUUCAUUCGAUUGUCGAUGCGGCAGGGGUUCGACUCCCCUACGGUGUA